rnacentral:rRNA from 1 species
GAUGAACGCUAGCUACAGGCUUAACACAUGCAAGUCGAGGGGAAACGACAUCGAAAGCUUGCUUUUGAUGGGCGUCGACCGGCGCACGGGUGAGUAACGCGUAUCCAACCUGCCCACCACUUGGGGAUAACCUUGCGAAAGUAAGACUAAUACCCAAUGAUAUCUCUAGAAGACAUCUGAAAGGGAUUAAAGAUUUAUCGGUGAUGGAUGGGGAUGCGUCUGAUUAGCUUGUUGGCGGGGUAACGGCCCACCAAGGCGACGAUCAGUAGGGGUUCUGAGAGGAAGGUCCCCCACAUUGGAACUGAGACACGGUCCAAACUCCUACGGGAGGCAGCAGUGAGGAAUAUUGGUCAAUGGGCGAGAGCCUGAACCAGCCAAGUAGCGUGCAGGAUGACGGCCCUAUGGGUUGUAAACUGCUUUUAUAAGGGAAUAAAGUGGGAGUCGUGACUCUUUUUGCAUGUACCUUAUGAAUAAGGACCGGCUAAUUCCGUGCCAGCAGCCGCGGUAA